UGGUUCUUUUUCUUUAUUGUUUUCUGGAAAUAGAAGUAAUUAAGUAUAGAUACUACUGGUUUGUUUCUUCCAGUAGCUGAUAAUACUAAUACCAAUAAUAAUAAUAAUAAUAAUAGUAAAGUAAUACUACUUCAACUGUCUUUAUUUAUCCAUUGAACUGGCCAUUUUAAAUCUAAACUUCUAAACACAAAUCAAACCAUCAUCCUUGUAGAAUCUUUAAUAGGAGUGGGCUAAAGAUCCUGGUUUUGUUGACAGGAUUUAUUGGUUCAUGAACAGCAAGAGGUAAGUACAAGCCUAACUACCCUCUAGCUCACAGACCUGCCCGGUGAAUAGAGCUUUGUUUUUUUGAUGGGCUUGUGAUGACUUUGAGAUCAAUUGCUCAUUCAUUACAGUAAAAAAAAAAAAAUUGUUUUGAACAUGACAGCAAAAAUAACUUUAAGCACAACUUAAUAAUAAUAAUAGAUCACCAAUUUUAGUUAAUAAUUUUAUGCUAUACUCUUGGGUGAGGGAAGACUCGGACACUCAAUAUGAGAUCAGCAAGCUAUGUUUAUUGCAGAGAGUAUCAGACACUUAUACAGCACAUAAUAAGCUUAUGAAUAUUCUGUAAGCCAAGCGAUCUAUUGGUUAAACUAUACCAUCAACUCUUCCUCAUUCCUUUGGGCCUACAUUCCCUAUUUCCCACGUCUCUCUGUCUACUUGUUAUCCUACCCAGCUAGGCCCAGGCACACGCUAUCUUGCAGGUGCAAAACUCAAAAAUACCUGUGUUCGGUACUUUCCCAGCUCCUGGUCGGCUAACGAGCGAAUGUCUGCGUGACCUCUGUCAUGGAGCCAUUUCUCCACACUAUACUAUCAAAGUUUAAAGGUAAAUUAUUAUAUAUUAGGAGAUGGUGUAAAGUGUAUGUUGUAAUGUGUAGGAUAUAUACAAAGAUACGUACUUGAAAGUCCGUAGAGGAAACAAAUUUUUACGCCUUCUGUUUGACUGUUUGUCAUAUAUUUGGUUUUAUUUCCCAGGGAUCAGUGAAUUUUAACUCUGGAGUCCUCUAUGCUAAGGAUGCUCAGCUUAGAGAUGAUGAAAUGUUCAGUAAUGUAUUUGCUGCAGCUCUGCUUACCCAAGGUUUGGGUAAAACAAGCUUUGGGUUCCCUCUGUCUCACUGGGAGUUGCCCAAUUCAGUUGCAUCUGGUGAAAUUCACCCUGAGACCUUACAGAACCAGCUCCAACUACGUGAGAGCCAUUUGCAGUUCUCUCCAGACACCUGGAGAAUGGGCGACAUUUCUGAGAAUCCGGCGAGCGUGCUUCUAUCAAAACUCAGUCUGUGAAAUUCCUGGGGAAAACCCUUCUGUGUCCUGAAGGGUUCAAACUCUGGUGAGGAUCCAGUUAUCAGGUGCUCACCUGGAUGGUUCCAGCUCUUAAAGUGAACACUUGUACUCUUGCCCUGUAGUUUACAUCUAUUGUAUUUUUGUUAUUUUGCAGGAUUUUUUGUCUUUGCAAAAUAUUGUGCAUUUCACUCUUUGGAACCUCUCAGAUGGUUCUUUGGUGCAGCACCACCCCAGGGGACACUUGCCUGCUGUCCUGAAGGGGUUGGUGGCUAGAAUUGUGAAUCCUGGAGAGUUUAUAAGUCUUCUGUCCCCAGGGAGGUGUCGUGCUUUGUUUACUUUUGUUCUGUUGGUUAGGCGCUGCUUCUCGUUGCAAGUACGAAUUUCAAACUGCCCUGUUCUUAUUUUAACUGUUUUCCUGGUUCUCUCCCUACGGCAGGGAAAGACUCUCGUAUCCUUGUCAUCGGGCUCGGUGCUGUCCAAGAAGAUACAGAGACUAAAAAAAUCAUAAGAAGCAAAAUAUGACUGCAGGGAAAAGAAGCUGGAGAGAACAGAAGACUCAUCACGGCGGGACAGCGUGAAGACUGAAAGUGUAAGAAGAUGUGGAGGGAAAGAGAGAAUCUGACAGGAGCAUCGGAGGGACGAGUGCACGAAUUUUGCUUUUUGCUUGGAUGUAAACUCAGGAGUUGAGAGGAAUUUGGGAGUGAGAAGGGACAUCUCAGAAGGAGAAGAAGAAAAAGAGGUUGUUGUUGUUGUUACAGUCCUGGCAAAAUCUUUUGUUCUAGCUAAUAAAAGAAGUUAGUUUAAAAAACAAAAAGGAAAAAAUGUAGUGUUUUUUUUUUCCUUCACUAUGAUAUUCAUUGGUGGUAUAUGGUGUGUUGUUUCAUUUCUUGGUAUUAUUAACUCUGUGUAAAUUGUUUUUUGAGUGAAGCUGACUUUCUGGAUGGGUUGGUUUGUAUUUGAGGCAGGAUUAAUUUCAGUAGGGUUCUUUCAUAGAUUUCUGAUGGGUAUUACUGGGAUUUUGGUUUUGUUUACUGUAUGUAUGAACCUAGAGCUUUGGUAGGGCCAGCUGGGCUGCUGGAGUUUUGGGUGUGAAUUUAUUAGAUGGCUUUUGUUAGAUGCAGUUUUUAAUUUUUGAAAUGUUUUUCAAUGUAGUGGUUUUAAGGUGGUUUUUAAGAAUUCAUUGUAUUGCUUUAUCUUGUUUGUAGUUGGUGUAUGAUAAGGGAUGUGGUGUGAGUUCUUGAACAUUAUGGUUUUGGUGUUCCUAAGUUCUGAUUUCUUUGUGGUUCAAUAGCUUUUUUUAUUUUUAUUUUUUGGGACAGGGGCAUUUAUAUGGUGGGUUUUUAUAGGCAAUAUGUUUUUUAAUUUAGGUAGUGAUAUUUUUUAAUAUUUUAAUAGUUUAGGUUUUUUAUUUUCAUGGUU